UGGUUUGUAACUGUGGCUUCUGGCAGAAUAACCCAAUAUAUUUGCUUUUGCACUCUUAGCCCAUCAAAAACUAUGAACUUUCGGAAACUUUUCUGCGUUUAGUCCACUUUAAACUACUGUGAAAGAUUGUCAUUGACAACUUUGCUCGACAAUCAUUGGAGACAACUUGAGAGACUGCAUUUUUAUAAAACCAACCAACACUUAAAAAGUUAUGCGAAAUUGCUGAAUAAUGAAAGACAGAAAUACAACGAGGUAGUAGUAGUAGAAGUAGACUUGGAACUUGCACACUGCGAUUUAUGAAAACAAAAUAUUCUGCGGUGCCAAAAAUCAACCUAAAAUGGAACUGCAGACCUCCUUGAGUUGAGACAAGAAAGAAGUCAAGAAAAAAAACCAACUAAUUAUUGUUGCAGUUUGGUGUUUGAACGAACUGAAUGGAUUGCAUUGCACUUUGAGAACCAUAGACCCUAGUCGUUGAAAUGGAACAUUGUGUACACGAAUAUAUUUAAAGAUGCCUGGUAAGUGUUUUUCUCUAGGAAUGCAAGCUAUUUAAAGUGAACCCAUGAGUUGCAAACCCCUCGUCCUGAAAGGCGAUAUUGUGGAAAGUGGACGGUGAAUAAACAAUCCUCCUCAAAAUGUCCCACAUGAUGGAGCAGUGCACCAGAAAUGAACUCGAAAAGCAAACAAGAUUAAAAAAAUUACAUGUACAUAUGUAAUUCACUGCUGGAAUUGAAGGUUUAUAGUGAUUCCUUGGACUUUACAUGACAGACUUUUGCCUCAUCAGAUGGAAAAACAAUUUACAAAGAAGAUUUUUUUAUUGGAUUUUAAUCAACGUCUUAAUUAAUAAGAAAACACAAGGGUGGAAGUCAAAAAAUGUGAGACAAAACACAGUGGAAAUUCUACUGCAUACUGAUGCGAAUGGAUUCUAUAGGGAACUAAGGAAUUUCAUGAACCUCAAACCAGUGAUGUAAAUCAACCUGGACUGUCAAAACACAACACCUGUUAUCAAUACCUGGCACUAUAAACAGAUGAAACACCAUCAAAUUAAUCAUCAUGGAAAAGACAAAGGAGGAAUUUGCACAACACAGAUGAGCAUGAUUCGCGUGGGAAUGAAUGGUUUCAGAAGGACAUUUUUCUUGAAUAGGCAGUGUAAACAAAGAAAUCCACGUCACCAGAACUAUAGUUGAUCAACUAACUCCCAAGUUGCAUUUAUGCAUGCAUUCUGUGCCUGAAACAUCAAGAUAAAUACAUGUAUGUAAUUAUGUAAACAUGCCUAAAUCUGUAUAAAGUUCAUAAUUAUAUAUAUAUAUAUAAAUCUGUG